rnacentral:rRNA from 1 species
GUGAGGAACACGUGAGAAACCUGCCCCAGACUUUGGGAUAACAAUUGGAAACGAUUGCUAAUACCGGAUGACGUCGGAGAACCGCAUGGUUCACUGACGAAAGAUAUUUCGGUUUGGGAGCGUCUCGCGGCCUAUCAGCUUGUUGGUGGGGUAAUGGCCUACCAAGGCAACGACGGGUAGCUGGUCUGAGAGGACGACCAGCCACACUGGAACUGAGACACGGUCCAGACUCC